rnacentral:rRNA from 1 species
AAUCAACGCUGGCGGCGUGCCUCAGACAUGCAAGUCGAACGCGAAAGUCCCCUUCGGGGGACAAGUAGAGUGGCGCACGGGUGAGUAACACGUAGGUAAUCUACCUUUGGAUGGGGAAUAACAACCGGAAACGGUUGCUAAUACCGCAUAAUGCAGCGGCACCUAAUGGUGACAGUUGUUAAAGCGGGGGAUCGAAAGACCUCGCGUCUGAAGAGGAGCCUGCGGCGGAUUAGCUAGNGGUAAGGUAAUGGCUUACCAAGGCUACGAUCCGUAACCGGCCUGAGAGGGCGGUCGGUCACACUGACACUGACAUACGGGUCAGACUCCUACGGGAGGCAGCAGUCGGGAAUUUUGGGCAAUGGAGGCAACUCUGACCCAGCCAUGCCGCGUGGGUGACGAAGGUCUUCGGAUUGUAAAGCCCUUUCGGCGGAGACGAUGAUGACGGUAUCCGCAGAGAAGCCCGGCUAACUUCGUGCCAGCAGCCGCAGU